AGUUAUUACAUGCUAAAGCUUAAGAAUCUAGUGACCAUGUAGACUAACUAUAGAUUAUAUAUGCUAGAACAUAAGUUGGAAUUGACAGGCAAUGACCUUAUUAUUCAUAGAAGCCAAGGCAAGUAACCCCUGAUAUCCCAUCCUAGCACAAAUGCAACAAGAAACAAUGAGUCUUUGAUAGAACAAAGGGUAGCAACAGUGGAUAGAUGGGUAGCGAAGGAGUUGUGGUAGUAGAUGAUUAGAGAAGGAAAUAGAACAACCACAACCAUUGCUGAGCGGUGGUGAAGGGAAGUUGUGAUGCUAGGGGGCAUGUUAUGGACAAUAACAACAACAUUAAGUGUUCUUUUUUUUUUGAGAAUAAGAAGAUGGGCAGAGCUAGGAACCACAUGGAUGGUUAUUUUGUGACAAAAUUAUU
rnacentral:lncRNA from 1 species